AUUAUCAAAGGCUGGCAUGGCAUAUAUCUGGAAAGAAGUAAGGCAGUUGAUCACAACGAAUAGGCUUGUCAACCCCAAAACCAUCCUUGGUGUGUCGUUCCUGUGGUACUCAUCCAACGCGCUCAACAUCCCUCCAUUUAUUAUUUUCAAGGAUCGAGAUGAUACCAAAUUCCCAUAAGCCCAGUAACCUCCUACAGCCAUUGGAAACAAGCAGCAUGCGAUCACCAUAUAUGAAAACUUCACUCCUUUCCACAUUGGCACACUAGAUGGAUUCUUAGCAGUCGAAGGCACGGUUCCCUGCAAACACAAACACAAACACAAAAUCAGUCAGACAAUCUUGUUUGAUUCCAUACACACACACACAAAAACACCACAUAAAUUUCCAUACCUGAAUCUCUAACACAAGGUUGUGCCCCCUAAAAGCAAAUGCUAUGAUGCCAAGAGCAUUCAAAAUGCUCGAAAUGUUCCCAACUUCUGAUUCUGUCCACACGGGCUCGUAUGAUACACCAGGCGGCCUGGUUUUGGAGACAGACAGAAUCCAUGUUAGAGUACAGUAUGUCACAGCGGUGAUUGCGCCGACAAGAGAAAUUCCGGCUAUGGAGUUGAGGUUCGGGAGCUGAGCCAAGAUCACUGCUGAGCACACAAACACAAGGUAGUAUAAUAGGAUAAUUACCGAAAGCAGCCAUGGACAGCCUGAGGUAUCGGCUGUAGCGCGUUCCAGGGACUGAUUCAUGGAGCUGUAUCAGUAGCCAUAAGGUGUAUAAUUGCCAUAUGAAAGCCAAAGACAGGCUUAUAAUUCCCCAAACCCUGAAUAAAGUAAGCUUAAUUAUCCAAUGCUGCUUCACAUAUACAUAAAAUGAUGAGCAUGUUUACAUAUUUGAUAUCAAAGUGCACCGAAAACUUACCAGCCGAGGGUUGUGAAAGCAAGAGGAAGAAGGAGGGCCUGAAAUCCGAUUCCAGAGCUGAGGGUGUGGAAUGCAGCAUAGUAAGCAUUCCCAUUUCUCGACUCCGUGAUUGGAAGCCACGAAUCCUGAGGAUCAAGCUUGGUGAUGUGCCCUAUAUCUUCUAGGUAAGUUUGCAUGGUAGUUAUGGCCUUUUUCAUGGGGCUAGCCAGAGGAGUCAUCAUUCGGGCCGCGGUUGAAAAGGGGCUUUUGGGAGUCCUUGGAAUGGAAUCAGGAUGUGGUGAUGGAGUUGCUGAAGUUGGAUUAUGGAAUCCCAAUGCUGGGAUUGUGAUUACGGAGCCUGAGUUUAUUUCAACUAGUUCACUCAUUGUUGGAGAUGGAAUGAAUCAGAUAGUUUGUUGCAGUAUCAAUUUUCUCUACUAUCUUUGUUUUGAAUCUUUUUGUGUUAAUCUACAGAUUGAUAUGAGAUGAUGAGGUUUAUAUAGAACCGAGUUCACACUGUUCA